GGGGCUGAUUAGGAUUCGACAGGAUCUAGGAAGCCGGAGGUGCAUGCAGAGGAGCGGUUUGCCUCUUAAAAAGCCGCAUUUAAAUAGUCGCAAACGACGAAACAUACGCACUAGCCGCUUAAUAACCGGCAUAGGCCCUUCCACCCUAGUCUUUUCCUGCUAGCGGGGAUUCGGAAGGUCAUCCAAGUAGGAUAGCGAGGGAACUUUGUCUAAGGGUGAACCGCGAAACAGUAUUAGGCCAGCUGCAAGGAAAUCCUGUUUGUCGGAGUUCCAAGCAGUUAAAUAAAUGACAAACUAAGCAUGUAGUACCAAAGGUAGACAUUUUCUGGACGCGGGUUCAAAUCCCGCCAGCUCCACCA
rnacentral:tmRNA from 1 species